rnacentral:misc_RNA from 1 species
UAUGUUUAGCUUUUCAGUUUCUUCCCAAUUUUAAAAAAAGCAAGAGAAAGAGCUCUCUCCUCACUGCUAGUGCUGCUGACUCUGCAUGCAUACAGGUGUUUUGGCAUUAACCUUUUGCUAUAGAGAUGUAUAACAUGAAAUGAUAAUUCUGUUUCACUUAUUUGUAUCUAAUAGUUUCUUCUAUGACAUAGUAACAUAAAAGUCGUGACAGUGACUUCAAUUGCACAAAUGCUGCAUUAGACUGGAUUGCUUGACUAGUUCUUGGUAAGGCAGGUUUAACUAGUUUGACCUCAAGAAUAAAGAGUAACAAGAACAGUUCAAAAUUCUUUACAGUUAAUCCACCAAACCCUCCUUGAUUUACAGACCAAACCUGGCCCUAUGGCUUUGUGCUAGAAUGGGUGCACGCACAUCCCAG